UACGUAGGGGGCUAGCGUUGUCCGGAAUCAUUGGGCGUAAAGAGCGUGUAGGCGGCCCGGUAAGUCCGCUGUGAAAGUCAAAGGCUCAACCUUUGAAUGUCAGCGGAUACUGCCGGGCUAGAGUCCGGAAGAGGCGAGUGGAAUUCCCGGUGUAGCGGUGAAAUGCGCAGAUAUCGGGAGGAACACCUAUGGCGAAGGCAGCUCGCUGGGACGUUACUGACGCUGAGACGCGAAAGCGUGGGGAGCAAACAGG
rnacentral:rRNA from 1 species